GAACAGACAAGGAGCUUGCUCCUUUGACGUUAGCGGCGGACGGGUGAGUAACACGUGGGUAACCUACCUAUAAGACUGGGAUAACUUCGGGAAACCGGAGCUAAUACCGGAUAAUAUUUCGAACCGCAUGGUUCGAUAGUGAAAGAUGGUUUUGCUAUCACUUAUAGAUGGACCCGCGCCGUAUUAGCUAGUUGGUAAGGUAACGGCUUACCAAGGCGACGAUACGUAGCCGACCUGAGAGGGUGAUCGGCCACACUGGAACUGAGACACGGUCCAGACUCCUACGGGAGGCAGCAGUAGGGAAUCUUCCGCAAUGGGCGAAAGCCUGACGGAGCAACGCCGCGUGAGUGAUGAAGGUCUUCGGAUCGUAAAACUCUGUUAUUAGGGAAGAACAUACGUGUAAGUAACUAUGCACGUCUUGACGGUACCUAAUCAGAAAGCCACGGCUAACUACGUGCCAGCAGCCGCGGUAAUACGUAGGUGGCAAGCGUUAUCCGGAAUUAUUGGGCGUAAAGCGCGCGUAGGCGGUUUUUUAAGUCUGAUGUGAAAGCCCACGGCUCAACCGUGGAGGGUCAUUGGAAACUGGAAAACUUGAGUGCAGAAGAGGAAAGUGGAAUUCCAUGUGUAGCGGUGAAAUGCGCAGAGAUAUGGAGGAACACCAGUGGCGAAGGCGACUUUCUGGUCUGUAACUGACGCUGAUGUGCGAAAGCGUGGGGAUCAAACAGGAUUAGAUACCCUGGUAGUCCACGCCGUAAACGAUGAGUGCUAAGUGUUAGGGGGUUUCCGCCCCUUAGUGCUGCAGCUAACGCAUAAG
rnacentral:rRNA from 2 species